AUUGAACGCUGGCGGCAGGCCUAACACAUGCAAGUCGAGCGGAUGAACGGUGAGUGCUCGUUGUUUCGGCGGCGGACUGGCGGGUGAGUCCUAGGUAUCUCCCUAUUUUUUGUGUAUUACGGCCUGACACGGGCGCUAAUACCGCAUUAGUGCUUACGGCCAACGUGUGAGAUCUUCGGACCUUCCGCUAUUAGAUGAUCCUAGGUCGGAUUAGCUAGUUGGUGGGGUAAAGGCCCACCAAGGCGACGAUCCGUAGCUGGUCUGAGAGGAUGAUCAGCCACACUGGAACUGAGACACGGUCCAGACUCCUACGGGAGGCAGCAGUGGGGAAUAUUGGACAAUGGGCGAAAGCCUGAUCCAGCCAUGCCGCGUGGGUGAAGAAGGCCUUCGGAUUGUAAAGCCCUUUUAGUUGGGAAGAAAAGCAGUAGGUUAAUACCUCGCUGUUCUGACGGUACCAAAAGAAUAAGCACCGGCUAACUUCGUG
rnacentral:rRNA from 1 species